UGGGGAAUAUUGCACAAUGGGCGCAAGCCUGAUGCAGCCGUGCCGCGUGUGUGAAGAAGGCCUCGGGUUGUAAAGCACUUUCAGCGAGGAGGAAGGUGGUGAGCUUAAUACGCUCAUCAAUUGACGUUACUCGCAGAAGAAGCACCGGCUAACUCCGUGCCAGCAGCCGCGGUAAUACGGAGGGUGCAAGCGUUAAUCGGAAUUACUGGGCGUAAAGCGCACGCAGGCGGUUUGUUAAGUCAGAUGUGAAAUCCCCGGGCUCAACCUGGGAACUGCAUUUGAAACUGGCAAGCUAGAGUCUCGUAGAGGGGGGUAGAAUUCCAGGUGUAGCGGUGAAAUGCGUAGAGAUCUGGAGGAAUACCGGUGGCGAAGGCGGCCCCCUGGACGAAGACUGACGCUCAGGUGCGAAAGCGUGGGGAGCAAAACAGGAUUAGAUACCCUGGUAGUCCACGCUGUAAACGAUGUCGAUUUUGGAGGUUGUGCCCUUGAGGCGUGGCUUCCGGAGCUAACGCGUUAAAGUCGACCG
rnacentral:rRNA from 1 species